AAAACGGUCCUUUUCAGGACCACAAAAUAAAAUAAUAAAGAGCUUU
rfam:Lutzomyia longipalpis Contig9485, whole genome shotgun sequence.